rnacentral:rRNA from 1 species
UCGUUGUAGCAAUACGAUGGAAAGUUUAGUGGCGAACGGGUGCUUAACACGUGGGCAACCUGCCAGGAAGUGGGGGAUAGCUCGCCGAAAGGCGAAUUAAUACCGCAUGUGAUUAGAGAGGACAUCCUUUCAAAAUUAAAGUCGGGGCAACCUGACGCUUCUUGUGGGGCCCGCGGCCUAUCAGCUAGUUGGUGAGGUAACGGCUCACCAAGGCUUUGACGGGUAGCUGGUCUGAGAGGACGACCAGCCACACUGGGACUGAGACACGGCCCAGACACCUACGGGUGGCAGCAGUCGAGAAUUUUUGACAAUGGGGGAAACCCUGAUCGAGCGACGCCGCAUGGAGGAUGAAGGUCUUCGGAUUGUAAACUCCUGUCAUUGGGGAACAAUGCACAGAUAUUAACUGUAUUUGUGUUGAUAGUACCCGAAGAGGAAGAGACGGCUAACUCUGUGCCAGCAGCCGCGGUAAUACAGAGGUCUCAAGCGUUGUUCGGAUUCAUUGGGCGUAAAGGGUGCGUAGGCGGCGCGGUAAGUCGGGUGUGAAAUCUCGGAGCUUAACUUCGAAACUGCAUUCGAUACUGCCGUGCUUGAGGACUGGAGAGGAGACUGGAAUUCACGGUGUAGCA